AUUGAACGCUGGCGGCAGGCCUAACACAUGCAAGUCGAGCGGAGCGGCGGACGGGUGAGUAAUGCCUAGGAAUCUGCCUGGUAGUGGGGGAUAACGUCCGGAAACGGGCGCUAAUACCGCAUACUAUCAGAUGAGGCUAGGUCGGAUGAGCUAGUUGGUGGGGUAAAGGCCUACCAAGGGGACGAUCCGUAACUGGUCUGAGAGGGUGAUCAGUCACACGGGAACUGAGAAAGGGUCCAGACUCUUAGGGGGGGCAGCAGUGGGGAAUAUUGGACAAUGGGCGAAAGCCUGCGCCAGCCAUGCCGCGUGUGUGAAGAAGGUCUGCGGUUUGUAAAGCACUUUAAGUUGGGAGACGUUACCAACAGAAUAAGCACCGGCUAACUUCGUGCCAGCAGCCGCGUAAUUC
rnacentral:rRNA from 1 species